rnacentral:rRNA from 1 species
CCUACGGGAGGCAGCAGUGGGGAAUAUUGCACAAUGGGGGAAACCCUGAUGCAGCGACGCCGCGGGAGUGAGGAAGUAGUUCGGUAUGUAAAGCUCUAUCAGCAGGGAAGAAAAUGACGGUACCUGACUAAGAAGCCCCGGCUAACGACGUGCCAGCAGCCGCGGUAAUACGUAGGGGGCAAGCGUUAUCCGGAUUUACUGGGUGUAAAGGGAGCGUAGACGGCUAAGCAAGUCAGAAGUUAAAACCCAGGGCCCAACUUUUGGACUGCUUUUGAAACUGAGGAGCUAGAGUGCAGGAGUGGUUAGCCGAAUUCCUCGUGUAGCGGUGAAAUGCGUAGAUAUUAGGAGGAACCCCAGUGGCGAAGGCGGCUUACUGGACUGUACCUGACGUUGCGGCUCGACAGCGUGGGGAGCAAACAGGAUUAGAUACCCGUGUAGUC